CCAAUAGCGUAUAUUAAAGUUGUUGCAGUUAAAAAGCUCGUAGUUGAAUUUCGAGACCGGCUUACUGGUCGUGCUAUUGUACGUACUGGUAUAAUCGGUUUCUCCUUUCUGACGAACUAUAAUGCCAUUAAUUUGGUGUUAUAGGGAAUCAGGACUGUUACUUUGAAAAAAUUAGAGUGUUUAAAGCAGGCUCACGCUUGAAUACAUUAGCAUGGAAUAACGGAAUAGGACGUUUGAUUCUAUUUUGUUGGUUUCUAGGAUCGACGUAAUGAUUAAUAGGGAUAGUUGGGGGCAUUAGUAUUCAAUUGUCAGAGGUGAAAUUCUUGGAUUUAUUGAAGACUAACUACUGCGAAAGCAUUUGCCAAGGAUGUUUUCAUUAAUCAAGAACGAAAGUUAGGGGAUCGAAGACGAUCAGAUACCGUCGUAGUCUUAACCAUAAACUAUGCCGACUAGGGAUCGGAUGAUGUUAAUUUUUUAAUGACUCAUUCGGCGCCUUACG
rnacentral:rRNA from 1 species